rnacentral:lncRNA from 1 species
CUUAGAUAGGUAGUUAUGUGUAUGCAUCCAAAGAAUGGGGUGAGUUUGAUUUAGUACUCUUGGUGGGUUAUACUAAAGAAAUAAUGUUUAGGUUGGUUUCAAUGUGUAAAAUUGUAACAUAUUAUAUGGUAUUGUCAAGCCCAUACUAGUUUUUCUCAAUUAGGCUUGCUUUGUAAUCUUUCCCUUAGGUAGAUUUGUGAGCUUUAAAAAUUUACAUGCAUGAAUCGGAGGUUAAAGGGGGAUGUUGAAAACUGGAAAAAUUAUGAUAGUGAAAUUAUUAUUUGAAUGAUAUAGAACUUGUCUUGUGGUAUGUUGCAACAACUUGAACAAGAAGAUAAUGAUGGUUGCUCAAAAUGAUUUUAAAGUAUGUCCGAACACACUAAGCUUUAAGUUCAAUGUCACCACGUUUAUACGCAAACUUGAUGCAUUAGGCAUAACCAUGAAUCUCCUCCAGGAUACUUUUGAAUCCAUGAAGUCAAUCACACUCACUUGAUGCAUUAUUGAAAAAUUUAUGUCGCUCUUCACCAAGUGAGAGUUAAAAACAUCAUCAAUGUCUAACACAUCUCGAAUAAGAUGAUUUAGCAAAAAGAACACAAUCAUUG